CCCGCUGAACUUAAGCAUAUCAAUAAGCGGAGGAAAAGAANCCAACAGGGAUUGCNUCAGUAACUGCGAGUGAAGCGNCAAAAGCUCAAAUUUGAANUCUGNUACCCCUGGGUGCCCGAGUUGUAAUUUGGAGAGGCAACUUCGGAGGGGGCGCUGGCCUAAGCUCCUUGGANCAGGACGUCACAGAGGGUGAGAAUCCCGUGCUUGGCUGGCUGUCCUCCUUCGUGUGAAGUGUCUUCGACGAGUCGAGUUGUUUGGGAAUGCAGCUCAAAAUGGGUGGUAAACUCCAUCUAAGGCUAAAUAUUGGCGAGAGACCGAUAGCGCACAAGUAGAGUGAUCGAAAGAUGAAAAGCACUUUGAAAAGAGAGUUAAAAAGUACGUGAAAUUGUUGAAAGGGAAGCGCUAGAGACCAGACUUGGUGAUAGGUGAUCAGCGGUUGCUUCUGCUCCGUGCACAUGCCUGUUACCGGGCCAGCAUCAGUUGCGACGGUGGGAUAAAGCCUCAGGGAAUGUGGCUCUCUUCGGGGAAUGUUAUAGCCUUGAGGGUAAUGCUGCCUGUCGCGACUGAGGACCGCGCUUCGGCUAGGAUGCUGGCAUAAUGGUCUUCAGCGACC
rnacentral:rRNA from 1 species